rnacentral:misc_RNA from 1 species
ACGAGUUUUUGAAAGGGGUUGUAGCUGGCCAAAACAAGGCAUGUGCACACCCUGCUCAAUCCACUCUCAAACCCCUGUGCACUUAUUGUAGGCUAUGGUGGGAUAGCUGACUUCGGUCGGUUUGAAAGCCUUGUCUAUGUUUACUACAAACGCUUCAGUCAAAGAAUGUAAUUUAGCGUCUAACGCAUUAUAUA